UACGUAGGGUGCGAGCGUUGUCCGGAAUUAUUGGGCGUAAAGGGCUCGUAGGCGGUUUGUCGCGUCGGGAGUGAAAUCCACUGGCUUAACUGGUGGCUUGCUUUCGAUACGGGCAGACUGGAGGUAUGCAGGGGAGAACGGAAUUCCUGGUGUAGCGGUGAAAUUCGCAGAUAUCAGGAGGAACACCGGUGGCGAAGGCGGUUCUCUGGGCAUGUCCUGACGCUGAGGAGCGAAAGUGUGGGGAGCGAACAGG
rnacentral:rRNA from 1 species